AAAGUGGUUGUGACAAAACAAAUCGCUUGACAACAAUAAUCACAUAUAUAGAUCAAACUCUGAUUCUUAGGCUAUGGUACAGAACUACGCAUCAAGAAAAGCUUCGCACAUGCGAUUUGGCCGGAUAAAUAGAUGCUAAAAUUGACACCUUGUACGGAGAGGCGAUGAACCAUUUUUACCUCGAAUCAAAGGCUGGACGGUGAGAUAUAAAAGAGUAAUUAUUCCAUAGCCGAGGGUCCUAUAUUGCACUUCAUUAUCCAAUUUUGUAAAAUCUGAGCAGAAGGCCAAUUACAUUAUCAGUCUGCGAUGUUCAUAGUCUACAUCUCAAUCUCGUUUUCCCCCAAAUAAAAGAAAC
rnacentral:lncRNA from 1 species